rnacentral:rRNA from 1 species
UACGUAGGGUGCGAGCGUUAACGGAAUUACUGGGCGUAAAGCGUGCGCAGGCGGUUUUGUAAGCCAGAUGUGAAAUCCCCGGGCUUAACCUGGGAAUGGCAUUUGGGACUGCAAGGCUUGAGUGCGGCAGAGGAGACUGGAAUCCUGGUGUAGCAGGUGAAAUGCGUAGAUAUCAGGAGGAAUACCGAUGGCGGAAGGCAGUCUCUGGGCUGACACUGACGCUCAUGCACGAAAGACCAGGGGAGCGAACGG